UACGUAGGGUGCAAGCGUUAAUCGGAAUUACUGGGCGUAAAGCGUGCGCAGGCGGCCAUGCAAGUCAGAUGUGAAAUCCCCGGGCUCAACCUGGGAACUGCAUUUGUGACUGCAUGGCUAGAGUACGGCAGAGGGGGAUGGAAUUCCGCGUGUAGCAGUGAAAUGCGUAGAUAUGCGGAGGAACACCGAUGGCGAAGGCAAUCCCCUGGGCCUGUACUGACGCUCAUGCACGAAAGCGUGGGGAGCAAACAGG
rnacentral:rRNA from 1 species